AAAAGAAGUAAAAGUGAUCAGGAGAGGGUGGGAGGAAGAAGAAAAUGAAAACUUGAAAUCGCGGUAAGAAAAGGAGUGAGAGGGAAGAUCUGAGUAGAUUAAAACCUUAAGACCGGUACUUGUUGAAGCGGUCACUAAGUGUACGAAGACUAGUGAAAACAGUCACUGAAUGCAUCUCUUCUUCAGCCUGUUUGAAAUAGAUAAAGGCACAAGAGCGAGACGAGCUUUUAAACCGAACGCUUGCAGCCUACUUGGAGCACUCACAAUCAGUGCAGACGUAGUCUUCAAUUCUGAUUUUAGUUUUCUCAAGGUGGCCUUGGAGGGAGCAAAUUCACCAGUUCUUACACCUACUGUGCCUGCACCCUCGGCCCAGUGCUCUGGGAUGUGGUAGGAAGGAGCUGCCUGCAUUUGCAAGGAAAGCUGGGACAGCAAGCCUCUUGUGCUCUGAUGAUUUCUUUUGGUCCUGCCUGAGAGCUCACUGAACUCUGCUCAGAGAUUCUGUCAAGCCUGGAAAGUUUCCUAUAAUCUCUGCCUCAGCAGAAAACACCCAGCAGCCAGAUUAAAUCUCCCUUGCAGUGAUUUUCGUGUCAUCAGAGAGAGGAGGUUUGAAAGAGAUACAAGAAAAACGGCCACCUGAAUGUGCUAGAGAUGCAUGGAAGUGUUUUAAAAGACGUUUCCUGUUUCGCCCUUUUGCAUGAUCUCCUUUUAAACAAGCAUAAUUCAAAUCAGUAUUAAAUGCAUUUUCUUAAAUAGUGUCAACUGCAGGAAAUGUUCUUUCAAGUCUGUGGCAUUUAUAACCAUGAAACACUGAUUGCUGUACAAGAGCACUACGGUAUCUUAUCUCUGAAGGUCACAUUUGGAGUUCACAUCCAUAUUAAAAAAAAAUCCCCCAAUGGGAGGAUU
rnacentral:lncRNA from 7 species